CUCGAGCGACGCGAGCCAUCUCACGUGCUCUGCGACGCGGGACGUUCGAAAAUCGAAUUUGAAUAUUUUUUCGGCAGCCAGUAUAAUAAACGAGUAAGGAGUUUUUAUAUGUGCGUGAAGUGUAAAAAGUUCCAUUGUGCGUGUAAUGAAUCAUUAGGUUGUGACGUAAUCUUGCUUAAAGUAGAUUCUGAUGGUUUUUAUUCUUUCAAGAGCUCUUAAAAGUUUUUAAGCAAUAUAAAUAUAUGUACUUAUUUAUACAGUGAAUAAAAAAUUUUAAAAUUCAAUAACGGAAUACAAUAACAUAAUUUCAUAGAACAAGAAACAAUACGACGGAAUGAGAUACAGGAAUCGAAUAAUCAUAAAAUAGAAUUCUCAUACGAAACGUAAUGAUACAAUAAUCGUGUAAAAGUUCACGAUACUUACCCAACGCGCUAUCGAUAACCACUUACAAAGAACCCUACGCAGCAAUGGUUUUAAUGGAAGCGUGAUCAUUCUAAGCUGGUUUUAUAAAACGGUCAUCUUGUAAGAUAAUGAUCUGAUGAUUUACGCUGUAUUAAACUGACAAUAGAUGCGGCUAGCACAAUGCGACCAAUUAGAUUUAAUACUCGAUGACCAGAUUUAACGAACCCCGACCCGACAUGACCGAACAAAACAUGACCGUUGACCAUUUAGAAAGUAAUAACAUAAUUAAAAAGAAAAAAGUUGACAAAGGAGGGAAAUAUAACAACAAUGACAUUGAUUUGAAUUUGGAAAACGGCAGCGAGUAUAUGCAGCCGAAUAUUAACAUAAUUAUAGACAAGGAGUCGAAUAGAACAAUAAGACUCGAACUGCGUAAUCCGGACAAUGAGUGUGUUGUUAAAAAAUAUAAAAUAAAUGAAAUCAAUGGGAAUGCAGUAAGAACUGGUUUGAUUAUGGACAGUAUUGAUUUUUCGAGGUAUGUAAAGGAAAAUGGCGAAAUUGUCGACGCAUGUAGAAAUGUUAGCGAUAUCAAUCCUCCAAAUAUGGAAACAACAAUGACAGCAGUCGACGACAAGCAAAGUAGUAAAGAGCGCCUGGGUAGCGGCGGACUAGGGCUGGCUGGAGGGGGGUUCCGUGGGGGGGCACAGCCUUCGCUCGCGGACUUCCAGCCGCCCUACUUCCCACCGCCUUUUGCCCCUCCAGCUCAUCCGGGCUCGCCGCAUCAACAGCAGAGCCAUGGCAUGGAGUAUGGGGCAGGCGGUGGCAGCGGCGGAGAUUACGGACAACACUACGCCCCACAGCAACUGCUACCACGCCACCACUCGCACCACGAGCCACACACCCACCUGCGACACCACAGAGAUCACCACGACAUACAUUCCCAUCACUUGUCGCACGGCGGCUUCGGUUAUGGCGGAGACAGACGGACAGACUACGUCGGUGGAGUUCGAGAGCAACAUGAGCUUGCUCUGCAUCACGCCCUGCACAAUGAUGAAACACAGAAUGCUGGAAUGGAUGAUACGACAGGAUUUAUGACAGAUUUGCCGUUGCUAAAAACAAUGAAAGGCCGCGAUGGCUUGGGCGGGAAUGGAACGUGUACACCAAAUGACGUAUUCUGCUCGGUACCAGGAAGACUGUCGCUUCUCUCUUCAACCAGCAAAUACAAGGUGACUGUCGCGGAAGUACAGAGGAGGUUGUCGCCACCUGAGUGCCUCAACGCGUCCCUAUUAGGAGGGGUACUAAGAAGAGCAAAAAGCAAAAAUGGUGGAAGAUUGCUACGGGAGAAAUUAGAAAAAAUCGGGCUAAAUUUACCAGCGGGGAGACGGAAAGCUGCAAAUGUCACAUUAUUGACGUCAUUAGUAGAAGCUGAAGCCGUUCACUUAGCAAGAGACUUCGGGUAUGUGUGCGAAACAGAAUUCCCCGCACGUGCUCUAGCGGAGUAUCUAGCGAGGCAGUACGCAGAGCACGACGCCCGAAGACGUCGAGAUCUGCUGCAGGCCACGAAACAGGUCGUAAAGGAAGUAAUGGAUCUUCUGAACCAGGACAGGUCACCGUUGUGUAAUACGCGGCCGCCCCAUCUCCUGGAGCCGGCCAUACAGCGACACUUGACGCAUUUCUCUCUCAUAUCGCAUGGCUUUGGGGGGCCGGCCAUUGUGGCUGCUUUGACAGCUAUACAGAAUUUCUUAAAUGAAUCCUUGAAGCAUUUGGACAAGUUGUAUCCUCAAAGCGGGAUGGUGUCAUCAACAUUAGACAAAACUAAAAUGGAUCCUGAUAUUAAAAAGUAGCAAUUCGAAAAAUCCCGCGCAAAUUUGUGAGUGUUUUUUUGUGUAUGCAACACUACAAUUUGGAAAUGUCAAAUACAUCGUUUUUAUGUUCUUGCACGAAAAGAACCACUGACAUUUAACAAGGAUUUUUAUAUUUUUUAUUACUGAUGUGCCCUAAAAUUAAAUUGAUAUUAAAUAUUGUUUACUACAAUAAAAAACCAUACAUGUUUACAGAAUAUUGUUAAAAGACGUGAGUAAGGUUUGUUUAAACAAGAAUAAAUUGUUUAAUAAUUUAAGUUCCAAAUGCUAAAGGAUUAAGGAAUGGAACUGGAAGGAACUUCACAGAACAAAUGUCAUUAUAUAAAAAAAAUGUAAGGCUAUACAAAUGAUUUGAGUUUUAUUUAGUGUUAAUUCCGCCAAUAUUUGUCUUUAAACAAUUCGACACGUGUUUCGCCUCUACACGAGGCAUCCUCAGGACGUGUUACACUAACGUUUUUGUGUGAACACUGAAGAAAACUCAAAUCAUUUGUAUAAUUAUGGAUUUCCGCAAAGUAACGCCUACUUCAAUAAAUGUAAGGCUAGAAAAAUUACCCUGUUAUAAAAAUAUUUUUAUAAAUACUUAUAUUAUUAUUGCUUGAGUGAUGUAUCUGCAAAAAAAAAUAUUUCCACAUCGGAGAACAACCAAAAAACGAAAAGUACCAGUUGUCAUUUUCAUAUUUCAAUCUUAGAUCAUUUAAAUCUCUAAAUAGACCCUUUUGCUGCUAGACAACCGAUGAAAGCAACCCAGGUUUAUUGAAAACCCAGUGAAAAGCUACGUCUUACAUCUGUAUGUCACUUUGUAUUAUUGUGCAUGCAUUGCUGUCAAUUGCCGUGUUAACUGUUAAUCUCAAUUUUUUUCGACGUUUUCACAGCUGUCAUAGUCAAUCUAGACGUAUAGAUGAUUUAGAUCAUAGAUUGUCCUUAGGGCAAAGAGUAUAAUAAUAUAUAAGGAAAAGAGAGCCCUCGCUACGCAUUAUGAGCUGUCUAUUCGAAAACUAGCGCCAUCUGGAGAUUGGCCCCGAAAAUAACUAUAUAUAAGCUCGAAAUUAUAAAAUUCAUUUUUAAUGUUGUGACGCAAUUAAAUAACUAACUCUACUUUUAAUGUAGGUAUUACAAUUUUUAACCAUGUUGAAAUUGCGCGUAGAGUUAGGUUAUUUAAUUUGGUCACAACAUAGAACAUAAAGGUUAGAUUUAGUAGUGUAAAUAUGCAAAAUGGAACACGAGAGCUACAUACAUGCGCAAAUGCUAGAAGUAGCCGCCAUUUUAUGACCAGUGACACAAUUACUUAUAGAAAAGUUGAAAGGUUUCAAAGCUAGUCACACACAGCUGACAAAGCUUUCAUUUUUGGGCCAAUUAACAGAUGGCGCUACAGUCUUCUGAAAACGUCACUUUAAGGCGUCUGUCCCACCCUUGCUUUAGGGACAAAACAGUCAUUGACACUUAUUAUGAUUUACUAAUAACGUCAAGAUUUCCAAUUCUAAAAUUCAAAAAAUAAUUGAAGCUUUUAAUUUGUAAUAAUUGGACAUGAAUAAUAAAAUAUAUUUAAAAAAAAGUUUUGCGAGACGUUUUUACAAGCCUUACGCAUUACUAAGAAAGUUUGUUGUUGUCUAGCAUAGAUAAUAAAUAAGAAUGUGGUAAUUCAAUGAAAUGGGCCAGUGAUCAAAAUAAUUUUUCAACUGUAAAACUUAAUAAAAUCUAGUUUAAACCAGUAUUAAGUGAAUUAUUGUGAAAAACUGCCAUAAUGUAAAUAAAUAUCGUCAUUUAUUUAUUAAUUGUUCGACAUAAGUGCAAUUAAGUAAUACUCGAUUGUGAGAUAUUUGUAAAUAUAGGAAUAAGUAAUUAAUGAUCUAUAAUGUUGCCCGUUUUGUACUUCCUCAAAAACAUUUAUUUUUAAUAAGACAAUUGCCAUAUCGCAAUAAAAACAUAUCAAUAAUACAACUGUACAUAUUUAUUGUAAUGUGAUGUGACUAUUAAGUUUAAAUAUAAUAAGAAGGUUUAUUUAGGGGCUGCUGGUUUCUUUAUAGGCACUAAAACUUAAUAUUGUACCUGCGAUAGCUUGUCUGUAUAAAAAUUGGGAGUAUAUUUAAAUAGUGAACUGUCAACCUAAAUUCGUUAUAGCGUAAGAGCACAUGACUGCUAGACCGUCGUAAUUAUAUAACAGCUGAAAAUAUAUCACGGCGCAUGCGUUCACUACUACUUCAAGAAUAUUAAGUUGACGCUUAAAUAGCUUAUUUGAGUUAUAUUUUAUUAAAUAUUUUUUAUAUUUAUUUUUGAAGAGUUCUUUAAAAAAAUACUUAGCUACGUAAAUAAUACGUGUACAAAUUAAAAACAUAUCAACAUUAAUAAGUUAUUCAAAAGGUACAACUGUCACUAUUUUAGGUAUUAUUCAUUUAUGCUUAAAUUUUAAACAAGACACAAAAAAGACGGAAUAUUAGCCGCAGUUGCCAAUCUGGUUGGUCUCUGGUUUUAUAGAUAAUUGUUAAUAUAAUUAAUGUAACGUUUCAAUGAAAUAUACAUUUGAGUAUAGUAUUUUUGACGUUUUAGUUUUGCUUAAAAGUCACACUAGAGGUGGAUUAUCUAGCAGCGGGCUUCUAUACUCUAUGACCUAAUUGGCUUCCAAUGAAGUGAGGCACUUUCUUAUGUAGGUAUCCGACUCGUUUUUUUUUAUUAGUCUAUGCCCAAAAUAUUUUUUCUUUUGCCGGCUUUUAUCGGCACAGACUAUAAAUUGACAGUAUGUCUUGUAAUUUGUAUUUUUUUACAGAAACCAGCAGGUCAUCAUAUUUAAAUAAAACUAUUCAAAACCUCCUUAGUUAGUGAUUAGAAAUAGUUGUGCUAGUUUGUAAUCGUGUGCCAAUUAGUUUAAAUAAAACCUGUGUGGAAUUAGUUAGGUAAGCGUUUUAAACAUGUUUUAAUUUAUAAAUUAAAAACAUUGGCAUCCCUUUUGUAUUUUAAUGUGACAAAGUUAAGUCAAUAUAUUAUAAUGUCUUUAUUAACUGCUUAGAACCACUAUUACAAAUUUUCUUGAGUAUUUACAACACUGACCUGUAUAAAUACCACUGCACAUGCUGUUCCAUAAAUUUGACAGCCAAUUUUUUGUGCCUAUUUAAAGCGCCCCUCGCGAACGUCCAGAGAACUAACGUUUUUUGACGUGUAAUAGAAAUGACUGCGAAGGAACGUAAAAUACACUGAAGUAUUUUUACAUUUUGAAUUAUAUUUCGUUCGUUUUCCAUGUUAUUUAUACUUCAAGAAUCAACGUAAUAAAGUACUUACGCAUUUUUUUUGUAAUUGGUUUCCCACCAUCGAUGUUGUCCACUAGGUUGUCAUCAUUAGUUUUAAUACCGCAGACUCUAGAUAUACGCCAUUUUGGCAUAUAUCUAGAGUCUGCGGUACGGUGCGGUUUGGCACGAAAGCACUUUGAUAGCCGCCAGUCCAGUGGUAUAAAUUAGAGGUCAGUGAUUUACAACGAUUGAUAACAAAUCAGUCAUUGACGCUUAAGUAUUAUAUUUUUCAAUUAUUUACAUUCAUUAAAAAUACACCGGCUUACUGUUCUAUUUCAUAAUUGUUAGAGGUACGGAAUUUCUCAAAUUAUAGUACAAUUCGAUACAAGUGCGGUAGGGUAUAACGGUUUCUGUGUCAACAAUAUAGACGAAUGAAAAUGACAAUUCCACAUAUGCAUCGGACGACGAGUUUUACCAUUUAAAAAAAAAUGCUUAAAAAAAUAAAUAAAUGAAAAGCCCAUACAUUUCGAUACGGAAAUGAAUGACUUUCCGCACACAAAACACACAUGGAAAAAUCUUCACUAUGAUUUCGCCAAACAUACUUUAUUCAAAAUUAUUAUUUUAUUUAGUCUCUGGUCUCAAUAAAUAUUAUGUGUGUUGAUAUACAAAAUUACCCGUCUAAAAAUAAGCUUAACAAAUUACAUUUAAAACUCAUAAUUUGUUAGCAAAGCACACUACAACAAAAAAAGGUUUGGAAUAAUUGUGAAAAACAAAACAAUAAAGUAUCCGUUGAUGUGGCUAAUAGACCGCUCACGAGUAGUGAUUUAGUAUUAAUCUGAACGGCGCUCGAGAAAAAAUCUAAAUAUUACCAUUAAUCAGUAACCCCCUUAUUCAUAAUGGUCCGCUAACUUUAAACAGCCGCUUAGGAGUGUUAUUUCUCAUUCUGACUUAGGUCAAUAGAAGAAGACAGAGUGAGAAUUAGCAAUGCUUUAAGUUAGCAGACCAUUAUGAAUAUGGGUAAGCUUUUACAGCAAGAAAAUGUGAAUAAACAGUAGUUAAUUAGAAAAAACUAUAAAUGAUUUUUUACUUAGCAUCAGCUGGGUCACUGUUACUCUCAUUUGAUUACAAUAUGAUUCUAGGUUAUGUAAUAUUCAUGUGUUUACAUUAUGCUCAAGCCAGUAUUGGCUUGCUAACUUACUAAUUUAAAAAUUAAGGAAGCAUCGUACAUGUACAAGUUUAUAUUAAUUAUAAACUUAAGUUAAUUACAAUAUACAAAAAUUAUUGAGGUGAUAAGAUAUGGGAAACAGAAAUAAGUUAUCUUGCACUAACAGAAUGUUUUGCGCAAUUAUUGACAUCUACAUUUUUGUGACAUGACAGUUUUUUUUUUGUAUGGAUGUUCCAACACCAUCAAACUAUCUAUUACUCAAAUCACUAAUUCAAAAUAAGAUUCAAUAAGAUUGUUAUAUUUAAAGAUUCAAUACCUGCUUUUAAAAAGAAUGACUGGCCAA